UUGAUAUGAUGCCUGUUUGAGCGCAGGAGAUCGCUUCCACAGCCUUGUCAAGCUACGAUGUCUUUCGAUGGUUUUGAAUGCUUUUAAUGAAUCCUGUAGGACAGGAUCAUAUUUUUGAGAGCUUCGAUACUCACUCCAAAUUACACCAUUUGAAGUCAGGCCAGCAGUGAAUACUUAUGAACUUUUAUAAACGCUGAACUGAUGUCAGAUGUUUCAGUGUCAAGUGGCUAUGAGUGAGACAUCAACUAGACACUUAGGUUUUCUUUCAUCUCCAAAUGGUUCCUGAGGCCUGCCUGUAGUGGAUACUGGGUGACCGGCUAUGGAGAUGGCAUGCCUUCACUCCUCCAUUUACAUGGACAACAUAAUCUCCUGAGCUAUAAAAAGAAACAGCCAAAGUUGAAGCAUACCAUUGGAAAAUGCUGCUUUAAUGCCACAGAUCCAUCGGUGCCCAAAAUCAGAAAGGAACAGGUUAAUAUCUUUGUUGUGGAUGAUUUAACAGAACUGGAAAGUGGAAGAUAAAUGGACUUUUUAAU